GAUGAACGCUGGCGGCGUGCCUAAUACAUGCAAGUCGAGCGAAUGGAUUAAGAGCUUGCUCUUAUGAAGUUAGCGGCGGACGGGUGAGUAACACGUGGGUAACCUGCCCAUAAGACUGGGAUAACUCCGGGAAACCGGGGCUAAUAUCGGAUAAUAUUUUGAACUGCAUGGUUCAAAAUUGAAAGGCGGCUUCGGCUGUCACUUAUGGAUGGACCCGCGUCGCAUUAGCUAGUUGGUAAGGUAACGGCUCACCAAGGCAACGAUGCGUAGCCGACAUGGGAGGGUGGUCGGCCACACUGGGACUGAGACACGGCCCAGACUCCUACGGGAGGCAGCAGUAGGGAAUCUUCCGCAAUGGACGAAAGUCUGACGGAGCAACGCCGCGUGAGUGAUGAAGGCUUUCGGGUCGUAAAACUCUGUUGUUAGGGAAGAACAAGUGCUAGUUGAAUAAGCUGACACCUUGACGGUACCUAACCAGAAAGCCACGGCUAACUACGUGCCAGCCGCCGCAGUAA
rnacentral:rRNA from 1 species